CAAAAACAUCGCCUCCCGCAAAAAUCAAUGUAUAGGAGGUCUUACCUGCCCAGUGACUAUAAGUUAAACGGCCGCGGUAUUUUGACCGUGCAAAGGUAGCGCAAUCACUUGUCUUUUAAAUGAAGACCUGUAUGAAUGGUGAAACGAGGGCUUAACUGUCUCCCCAUUCUAGUCAAUGAAAUUGAUCUACCCGUGCAGAAGCGGAUAUAAUAAUACAAGACGAGAAGACCCUUUGGAGCUUAAGAUAAAAGACCAAUUAUGUCAAAAGUCCUAAAACAAAACUAAACCAAAUAAUACUGGUCCUAAUCUUCGGUUGGGGCGACCACGGGAGAAAACAAAACUCCCAUGCGGACUGGGGUAUCCCCUAAAACUAAGAGAGACAUCUCUAAGACACAGAACAUCUGACCACAAAGAUCCGGCUACAUGCCGACCAACGGACCAAGUUACCCUAGGGAUAACAGCGCAAUCCCCUUCCAGAGUCCAUAUCGACAAGGGGGUUUACGACCUCGAUGUUGGAUCAGGACAUCCUAAUGGUGUAGCCGCUAUUAAGGGUUC
rnacentral:rRNA from 1 species